CUUUGUCUCCCGAAAAAUGGUUUUCGAGUCACCUUGGCGUGAUAAGGAAUUAAAAGGGAAUCCUGUGAAAGUCAGGAACUAUCCCCGUAGCUGUAAGCUUUGGCUCCUUUGCAGGAGAGGUGUUGCGACACUCUAUAAGCCACUGGUUCGAUGACGGACCGGGAAGGCGUCGUAACAGAAGCAAGUCAGAAGACCUGCCGUUUUUACAUCAUUCAU
rnacentral:ncRNA from 2 species